AUCAACGCUGGCGGCGCGCCUAACACAUGCAAGUCGCACGGGAAAGUGGAGCAAUCCAUGAGUAUAGUGGCGUACGGGUGAGUAACACGUGGGUAAUCUACCUCUUAGUGGGGAAUAACCCUGGGAAACCGGGGCUAAUACCGCAUAAGCCUGAGAAGGGAAAGCAGCAAUGCGCUGAGAGAGGAGCCCGCGGCCGAUUAGCUAGUUGGCAGGGUAAAAGCCUACCAAGGCAAAGAUCGGUAGCCGGCCUGAGAGGGCACACGGCCACACUGGCACUGAAACACGGGCCAGACUCCUACGGGAGGCAGCAGUGGGGAAUCUUGCACAAUGGGGGAAACCCUGAUGCAGCGACGCCGCGUGAGCGAUGAAGCCCUUCGGGGUGUAAAGCUCUUUCGUCAGGGAAGAUGAUGACGGUACCUGGAGAAGCAGCUGCGGCUAACUACGUGCCAGCAGCCGCGGUAAUACGUAGGCAGCAAGCGUUGUUCGGAGUUACUGGGCGUAAAGGGUGUGUAGGCGGUUCUUUAAGUUUGGUGUGAAAUCUCCCGGCUCAACCGGGAGGGUGCGCCGAAUACUGAGGGACUUCGAGUGCGGGAGAGGAAAGUGGAAUUCCUGGUGUAGCGGUGAAAUGCGUAGAUAUCAGAAGGAACACCGGUGGUGUAGACGGCUUUCUGGACCGUAACUGACGCUGAGACACGAAAGCGUGGGUAGCAAACAGGAUUAGAUACCCUGGUAGUCCACGCCCUAAACGAUGCAUAUUUGGUGUGGGUCAUUCAGUCGAUCCGUGCCGGAGCUAACGCGUUAAAUAUGCCGCCUGGGGAGUACAGUCGCAAGGCUGAAACUCAAAGGAAUUGACGGGGGCCCGCACAAGCGGUGGAGCAUGUGGUUCAAUUCGACGCAACGCGAAGAACCUUACCUGGGCUCGAACGGGUAGUCAACGGCGGUGGAAACAUCGCUACCCCGCAAGGGGGUCUAUUCGAGGUGCUGCAUGGCUGUCGUCAGCUCGUGUCGUGAGAUGUUGGGUUAAGUCCCGCAACGAGCGCAACCCUUGUCCUGUGUUGCCAUCAUUCAGUUGGGAACUCGCAGGAGACCGCCAGCGAUAAGCUGGAGGAAGGUGGGGAUGACGUCAAGUCCUCAUGGCCUUUAUGUCCAGGGCUACACACGUGCUACAAUGGCCGGUACAAACCGUCGCGAUCUCGCGAGAGGGAGCUAAUCGGAGAAAGCCGGUCUCUGUUCGGAUUGUAGGCUGCAACUCGCCUGCAUGAAGUUGGAAUCGCUAGUAAUCGCGGAUCAGCACGCCGCGGUGAAUACGUUCCCGGGCCUUGUACACACCGCCCGUCACAUCACGAAAGCUGGCUGUACUAGAAGUCGCUGCGCUAACCCGCAAGGGAAGCAGGUGCCUAAGGUAUGGUCAGUGAUUGGGGUG
rnacentral:rRNA from 1 species